AAUCCCGCGAAAGCGGGACUAAUACCGGAUGUGACAGACUGGUGGCAUCACUGGUUUGUCAAAGUUGGGGACCGCAAGGCCUGACGCUUCAUGAUGAGCCCGCGGCCUAUCAGGUAGUUGGCGGGGUAACGGCCCACCAAGCCUAAGACGGGUAGCUGGUCUGAGAGGACGACCAGCCACACUGGAACUGAGACACGGUCCAGACACCUACGGGUGGCAGCAGUCGAGAAUUUUUCACAAUGGGGGAAACCCUGAUGGAGCGACGCCGCGUGGGGGAUGAAUGGCUUCGGCCCGUAAACCCCUGUCAUUUGCGAGCAAAGCGCAUUAUUUAAAAGAUGAUGUGUUGAUAGUAGCGGAAGAGGAAGGGACGGCUAACUCUGUGCCAGCAGCCGCGGUAAUACAGAGGUCCCGAGCGUUGUUCGGAUUCACUGGGCGUAAAGGGUGCGUAGGUGGUGAGGUGUGUCGGAUGUGAAAUCUCGGAGCUCAACUCCGAAACUGCAUUGGAAACUACCUUGCUGGAGGGUUGGAGGGGGGACUGGAAUACUUGGUGUAGCAGUGAAAUGCGUAGAUAUCAAGUGGAACACCAGUGGCGAAGGCGAGUCCCUGGACAACUCCUGACACUGAGGCACGAAAGCUAGGGGAGCAAACAGGAUUAGAUACCCUGGUAGUCCUAGCCGUAAACGGUG
rnacentral:rRNA from 1 species